rnacentral:rRNA from 1 species
CCUACGGGAGGCAGCAGUGAGGAAUAUUGGUCAAUGGGCGCGAGCCUGAACCAGCCAAGUAGCGUGAAGGAUGACUGCCCUACGGGUUGUAAACUUCUUUUAUAAAGGAGUAAAGUGAGGCACGUGUGCCUUUUUGUAUGUACUUUAUGCAUAAGGAUCGGCUAACUCCGCGCCAGCCGCCGCGGUAAUACGGAGGGUACGCGCGUUAUGCGGAUUUAUUGGGUUUAAAGGGCACGGAGCAGGGUUGUUAAGUCAGUUGUGAAAGUUUUCGGCUCAACCGGAAAAUUGCAAUUGAUACGGGCAGGCUUGAGUACAGUUGAGGUAGGUGGAAUUCCAGGUGUAGCGGUGAAAUGCGUAGAGAUCACGAAGAACUCCGAUUGCGAAGGCAGCCCACUAAACUGCCACUGACAUUGAUGCUCGAAAGUGUGGGUAUCAAACAGGAUUAGAUACCCGAGUAGUC